AAAGACUGUGUUCUACAUGUUUCGUUCUUUCAACGCCGGCGCAGCUUGAGUGUUCCAAGGGAGUCAAUCAUCAAAAAGACCAAAGUCAACCUCAUUCUAUUUAGUGUCUUGCGUCUAGCCUUUUGAAACGAAAUGUUAGUCCAACGUUACAGUGUAGUUUUGGACUUAAAUCGUCAAGUUUGGUUACGAAAGUUCAACAUUACUGUAAUGGAAGCCUUGGAACAAGCAGCCACGUGGACUUAAAGAUUGGUCAAAUGACUAAAUUAUGAAUGUUGCAAGUCAGACUGGUUGACAUCCCCUUCUGCUCUUGUCCCAUACACCGCUGCUGAAUGUAUUCCACUUCUAGGAGUGUUUCAGACCUAGAUGGGCUCAGUCUGAGGUUUCCCGACAAAGUUUGGCCUUCCCUACUGUGAGACUGCUGCCCCUGCGACCCGAAUAAGUGGAAGAAGCUGGAUGGAUGGCUUCGGGAUCAGUCGUAUGCACCUAACAUUCACCAGAUUUGGAUCUGGCGGCUGCCUUUUUGAUGAGGAAGGAAAUGUUAAGAGCCAAGAUCGGUCUCCACUGUAUAUAUGUUACUGUGUUUUUAAAUAAAACUUGGGGAAAUUAAUGCUGCCCUUUCUAAUUUGCCUUUAUAAGUCACAUGGUCU